rnacentral:rRNA from 1 species
AGCUCUGUAAGCGUAUACCAAAGUUGUUGCAGUUAAAACGCUCGUAGUCGGACCUGAGCCAUACCCGAGUAUCAGGCGCACGUCAAGUGCCAGGCAUAUUGUAGGUAUGUGCUUUUGUGGUGUCUCGCGUACGAUGAGGCAUGUUUAUUCGUGAACGUCGUGACGCAGCACCCUUAUUACUGUGAGAAAAUCAGAGUGCUCAAAGCAGGCAUUUGCCUUGAAUGUAUUAGCAUGGAAUAAUAGAAUAGGACUUGGUUCUAUUUUGUUGGUUUGUUGGGGCUGAGUAAUGAUUAAGAGGGACAGUUGGGGGCAUUUGUAUUUCGGCGCUAGAGGUGAAAUUCUUAGAUUGCCGAAAGACAUACUGCUGCGAAAGCGUCUGCCAAGGAUGUUUUCA